UACGUAGGGUGCAAGCGUUAAUCGGAAUUACUGGGCGUAAAGCGUGCGCAGGCGGUUGUGCAAGACCGAUGUGAAAUCCCCGGGCUUAACCUGGGAAUUGCGUUUGAAACUACAAGACUAGAGUGUGGCAGAGGGGGGUGGAAUUCCAUGUGUAGCAGUGAAAUGCGUAGAGAUAUGGAGGAACAUCGAUGGCGAAGGCAGCCCCCUGGGUUAACACUGACGCUCAGGCACGAAAGCGUGGGGAGCAAACAGG
rnacentral:rRNA from 1 species